UCAUCUCCUUCAUCUUCAGAGAGUUCAAAAUCAGAUUCUUCUAUCUCUUCAUCACUUUCAAUAGCAUUAAUAUCAUGCUCUCGAUCAAUUUCAUCACUCUCAUUUUCAACCUCAUGUAUUUCCAAUUCACCAUUUUCAUGACGUAAGCUAUCAAGAUCAUCAGUGAUAUUUGGGAUUAUAGGGGGUAAAUUGUCAUCUUCUUGGUAUGGGAUAUUUGGAGAAUCAAUUUGAUUUCUAGCUUUUAUUUUACACACUGCCCACCAGUCAAUACUAUCUUUGUUUUUACUGGGAUAUUCUGCAAAAUAGACAUGUUGCGCUUGUUCAGCCAAUACAAAAGGUUCUUAAGCAUAGCUCGAGAACCUUUUUUUAAGAUUGAUAUCUAUCAG
rnacentral:lncRNA from 1 species